UACGGGGGGAGCAAGCGUUGUUCGGAUUUACUGGGCGUAAAGGGCGCGUAGGCGGUCGUGACAAGUCACUUGUGAAAUCUCCGGGCUUAACUCGGAACGGUCAAGUGAUACUGUCGGACUAGAGUACAGAAGGGGCAACUGGAAUUCUCGGUGUAGCGGUGAAAUGCGUAGAUAUCGAGAGGAACACCUGCGGCGAAGGCGGGUCUCUGGGCAUUCCCUGACGCUGAGGCGCGAAAGCGUGGGGAGCAAACGGG
rnacentral:rRNA from 1 species